AUUCUCUUCGGAUGAUUCUUAACUGACUGAGCGGCGGACGGGUGAGUAACGCGUGGGUGACCUGCCCCAUACCGGGGGAUAACAGCUGGAAACGGCUGCUAAUACCGCAUAAGCGCACAGAGCUGCAUGGCUCGGUGUGAAAAACUCCGGUGGUAUAAGAUGGACCCGCGUUGGAUUAGCUAGUUGGUGAGGUAACGGCCCACCAAGGCGACGAUCGGUAGCCGGACUGAGAGGUUGAACGGCCACAUUGGGACUGAGACACGGCCCAGACUCC
rnacentral:rRNA from 1 species